GGAAAAUGCAAGUCACCUGGAAGCACUGACUUCAGCCUUCUCACAUCUUCAUUUCGCUUCCUGUCAUGAACUGGCCAAAGCCCUGAAAGGAUCUAUUUCAUCUCUCAAUGGAGAGGAAACCUGUCACCUUAUAAUUUUUAUCCAAACUAGUUAUGCUGUAAAAAUGUGAUUACUGCCUCUGCAGCACUCGCCUGCUUCUAUAAUGGGAUAAUUGCAGAUAAAGGUCAGGCAGCCGGGAGAAUGGGAUUAGCACAGAAACACAACUCUGAUGGAUGGGGAUAAGGCAGUUUUGAACCUGAGGGAACUGAAAAAUAUCAUCAGACACAUGCUGGAUUAUAUAAGGUCAGGUGCUGCGUAAGACUGAGCCGAUCAAUGCCACACACCGAGAGACCAUCCGCUCCUGCAAAGGACUGCCUGGGAGAAGGCUUGUGCAGUCAAGCUUUCAGCAUCUCUUCCAGAAUGUGAACUCCCUUUCAUCGCCAUGGAGUAAUAUGAAUAGCUGCUUCACUCAUUGCAUCACACCUGGAUGGCUGACAGCAUCUAAUAGAGGUCAGAAAGGAUUGUAUUUCUUGGUCUCCACUUCACUGGUCAGAAGGUGGCUGGUGUAGAUGAAGCAUGUUUACAAGAUUAUAUGGUAAUUUGUAAACCUUUGCUCAAAGCACUGCAACUGAAUCUGUUGUACAAGUGAAGCUGAUCGCUGAAAUUCAAGUAUUUGACAGUUGCUGACCUAGUGAGUUCUUCAUGACAAGGAGACUUCUGCAGCGGCUCAUUCAACGUGCUGUUUUCUACACCAGUGGUAAGGACUGAUGAAAUGGCUGCAUACAGAACAACUGAGGAGAGGAGAGUGUACCAGGGAAGGUCUAGAUCCAUGUGGCUCAUGGAUGCUACCACUGCCAGCCCUGUGGGGCUCCUCAGCCCUUUGCCCCAUGCAGAAAAUAGCACUCCUACAAAGCAGAUCUGAAGAUGAGGGACCAUUAGGCCUGCAGUGAUGCUCCCAGAGCUCCAUGGUCCCUGCUUGACACCGGGAUACAAGUCUGCAGCAGCAGCCAGUCAGGAGUGAAAACAAUAUUAUCUACAUUGUGCCUUUAGCUACCUAGGACUUGAAGCGCUUAGCAAAAGGAGCUGGUGUCUUUUCUUCCCAACUACAGAAAGGAGAACUAGGGUGUGCAGCCAAAAUGGUUGUUUAGCUACCAACUCUGCCCUGUUAUUUCACUGUGCCUUCUGUCCUGUGUCCCCUGCAGUGCUGGAGCCCAUUCUCUUGCACCAAGGCCCCCUUUAAGACUUCGGUGUAGCAACUAGCUGGAGCUAUUUGUGAUCUUUAAAAAACAGUAUCUUAAAUGACUAAUCAUGGUGACGUGACUAAUAGCUAGUGCUUCUGGGCAGAGCUGUACCUAUAAUAUCCAGUCACCACUACAUUUGCUAAAAAUGAGGAGGAAAAAAAAAGAUGAACUUUGCCAGAGCUGGAACUUUUUCCAGGUCAAGUCUCUUCUUAUUUCACUGUUAAUCUUGAAGUAUUACAUAAAGUUUGGGACUGCAAUAACUUCUGUGAGGUUGGAUCUGAGUUAAUUAAAAUGAAACUUUUUCCUCUUUGGAGAUUCUGCGUUGAUCUGGGCAGCACAGAGUCAUCUCAUGGGACCUUCCUAAGGAGGCAUCUCACCAAACUGGCCGCUGUGUAGCGCAGUGGGGUUUUCCAGCCCUCCUUGGGUGAUUUGCUGACCCCGCAGUGUACCCCAAAAUCAGAUGUUUUAUUAGCUCUCUCUGCCUUUUGGGGCUAUGCUUUUGUGGUUUGUUUUCUCUUCCUUCCCCCGGGAAGGUUCACACAUUGGCCACAGUGGUCAAGAUUUGGUGUGACACAAGUAUUUUGAUUUUUCUCUUUCUGCCCAGGAAUUUCUUUGUGCUGAACAAAGACCUUUAAUUUUCCAUGGGACUUUUCAUCAGCUUCCUUCAGGGCUUGGAGGAAGAAGGAUAGAGCCAUGUUUGUGUCCAUUAGCCGGCAUCUUCGUGCAGCAGCAGUCACCUCUAUUUCUAUAACACCUAUAGGCGCUAUACACUGUUUAAAGGCUUUAGAGGACAGGUAAGAGAGAAGGAGGUGAACCCUCCUGGCUGCUAUAAUUCAGUGUUGCUCUGUUGACUUGUGACCCAAAGCAUGCUAACAAAUUGUGUGUGUCAGAGGCAAUAAGUGAUGUGAAAACAGAAGAUCACUGCAUGUCAUUUAAAAUCAUAAAGGGUUUAAAAUAUUUGCCAGGCUUCAGUCAGUUUGCAGGGUGACUUUUUCUUUCACGUGUGGUAAUGGAUAUGCACUUGGAUGUAAAAGCCUCCUAAUAGCCACCAUUUUAGGAAGUUUAUUCCACAAACGAGUCUGAAAACCAGACUCAUUUUGCUGUACUGGCAUUUUCAUUGGCACAUGAACUGUGUUCUUUAAACAAUUGAUGUUGCGGGCAAGCUCAGGCUGCUGGAACUCUUUUGGGUUUUCUUUAAAAUGGCAAAAAUCAGGCUAUCCAAGUUCACACUAACGGAGAUGGAUUUAACUCAGUUAUUUGUUUUACUUUCUUCCUGGUCUGCCUUCUUGAUUGGUUCAUUUUCUUUCCGUUUAACCCUUUGCUAACAUAAGCAGUGGUGGUCAACGCUUGACAUUUGUGUGUCCUUAAUUGUGUGUUAACAUCUGAUUGAAGGAACAAUACAUUUGUUAUAAUAGCUAGGAGAAGAAAGAUGUGUGACAUUCUGGGGGGCAAGGGGUGUGAUGAAUAUUAGGCAACCAGUUCAAUUCCCUGUUGAAAGUCACAACAUGCGUUAUCUGCUACCUCAUCGUGCCUGUGCAGAGCUAUCAGCAGCUGUGAUUUCACAGAUGUCAACUCGUACAACUCUGCAACUUAUGAUUAACAGGAUUUCCUCUUUGGUUAUUAAAGUAACAACAAGAGAUACCCUGUGGAAACCAAUAGAAUCCACAACACUUCAGUUUACUCUCCCAAAAAUACAUCUCAGCUUAUUUUCUGGCAAAGGCAUUAAACACCUCACUCUUAAUAUCUGUAAUCAGUUGGAGCUUUAUGGGCUGCCUCUCACCAAACGUAAACUGGGUAAGCUCCCUUGAUUUCAAAGGAGGUUUACACUGAGACUUUGGUUCUGUUUUAGCUAUUUACUAUUUUGUCUCUGGUGGGACCUGGAGUCAGGCAGGGCUCUGAGGUGGACGUGCUGGGACUUUCCUGUGAACUGAAUACACUAAGGACAUCAAAGGGGCUUUGAAUUAUGAAACAGGCUCAGCACUGGGUGUCUAGAACAUACAGUGAAAAAGAACUUUUGAAAAGGAUAAACUUUGAUCUGAUUAUUGAAUAAAAGGGCUCAGAAACCAAUUUAUCCCCAGUCUUAUACCCUGAGUCCAAAAUACCUAAGUCUGAUAAUGAUCUACUAAGUGAUACCCUGAGUCUCUCCUCAGCAGGACAGACUGCCCUUGUGUUAUCCUUUGCCUAAUGUCUUCCUGGAGAUUCCAGCCAGCUCCAUGCAGAUUCUUCUGGGUCCCAGACGCACUGUCCUUCCCACCAAGUCCUGUGGAAGGGGCUGGCAUCAGCUCCUCACCACUUCCCAUGCUGUCCCAACCCUGCCUGCCACGUCCAACCCCUCUGCCUGGUCCUGCCAUACUGAGCAGAGCAUCCCAGCUCUCUAUGGAGCAGGCUGGGUGCCUGGCAGGCAGCUCACACCUUCUCCUAAGGCAUCACCUUGAGGCAUGACAGCUUUCACAAGUCUUUUUAAGAUGGCAAUGGAUCCCAUCAUAAGCAGUGGGAUUAUUACUGAAAGCCCUAGAUUAAGCUAGUCAGUAAAUCAUUGCCUUGUGUGUGUUGAACUCGCACGUGGCAGUAGUCAUUACCAAGACCUUUCUAACUUGAUAGAGAAUAUCAGCCAGGGUAGAACAACAACCAAGAAAAGCAAUCUGGUCUUUCACAGCCAUUCUUUGGAGUAAACUCAGAAAAAAACCCUUGCUCUUUAGCUAGGAACUUGGUAAUACAAUGGAUGUCUGUGUCACAACUGCAUACUUGGGAGACCCUGAACAUGGUCUUUGUCUUGUCCUGGUGGGCUUUUAUAAUCUGUAGCAAUUCCUUUUCUUCUGAAAAAUGAAAUUAC